GAUGAACGCUGGCGGCGUGCCUAAUACAUGCAAGUCGAGCGAACGGACGAGAAGCUUGCUUCUCUGAUGUUAGCGGCGGACGGGUGAGUAACACGUGGAUAACCUACCUAUAAGACUGGGAUAACUUCGGGAAACCGUAGCUAAUACCGGAUAAUAUUUUGAACCGCAUGGUUCAAAAGUGAAAGACGGUCUUGCUGUCACUUAUAGAUGGAUCCGCGCUGCAUUAGCUAGUUGGUAAGGUAACGGCUUGCCAAGGCAACGAUGCAUAGCCGACCUGAGAGGGUGAUCGGCCACACUGGAACUGAGACACGGUCCAGACUCCUACGGGAGGCAGCAGUAGGGAAUCUUCCGCAAUGGGCGAAAGCCUGACGGAGCAACGCCGCGUGAGUGAUGAAGGUCUUCGGAUCGUAAAACUCUGUUAUUAGGGAAGAACAUAUGUGUAAGUAACUGUGCACAUCUUGACGGUACCUAAUCAGAAAGCCACGGCUAACUACGUG
rnacentral:rRNA from 1 species